rnacentral:rRNA from 1 species
AGAGUUUGAUCCUGGCUCAGGACGAACGCUGGCGGCGUGCUUCAUACAUGCAAGUCGAACGAGAAGUUACCUUCGGGUAAUGGACAGUGGCGGACGGGUGAGUAAUGUGUAGAGAAUCUGCCCUUGAGCGGGGGACAACAGCUGGAAACGGUUGCUAAUACCCCAUAUGAUGCCGGUUGUGAUACUGGUAUUGAAAACUCCGGUGCUCAAGGAUGAGUCUGCAUCUGAUUAGCUAGUUGGGGGUGUAAUGGAUCACCAAGGCGACGAUCAGUAGCUGGUUUGAGAGGAUGAUCAGCCACAAUGGGACUGAGACACGGCCCAUACUCCUACGGGAGGCAGCAGUAGGGAAUUUUGCGCAAUGGGGGCAACCCUGACGCAGCAACGCCGCGUGAUUGAUUAAGCCCUUCGGGGUGUAAAGAUCUGUCAGUGGGGACGAAAUAUGACGGUACCCACAGAGGAAGCACCGGCUAACUCCGUGCCAGCAGCCGCGGUAAUACGGAGGGUGCAAGCGUUGUCCGGAAUCAUUGGGCGUAAAGAGUUCGUAGGUGGCAUGUAAAGUCUGGUGUUAAAGGCAGAAGCUCAACUUCUGUAGGGCACUGGAUACUUGCAAGCUGGAAUGCGGUAGAGGUAAAGGGAAUUCCUGGUGUAGCGGUGAAAUGCGUAGAUAUCAGGAGGAACAUCGGUGGCGUAAGCGCUUUACUGGGCCGUAAUUGACACUGAGGAACGAAAGCCGGGGUAGCAAAUGGGAUUAGAUACCCCAGUAGUCCCGGCCGUAAACGAUGGAUACUAGGUGUUGGGGGUAUCGACCCCUGCAGUGCCGCAGCUAACGCGUUAAGUAUCCCGCCUGGGGAGUACGCACGCAAGUGUGAAACUCAAAGGAAUUGACGGGGACCCGCACAAGCGGUGGAACAUGUGGUUUAAUUCGAAGCAACGCGAAGAACCUUACCAGGGCUUGACAUAUGGGUGAAGCGGGGGAGACCCCGUGGCCGAGAGGAGCCCAUACAGGUGGUGCAUGGCUGUCGUCAGCUCGUGUCGUGAGAUGUUGGGUUAAGUCCCGCAACGAGCGCAACCCCCGCCGCGUGUUGCCAUCGGGUGAUGCCGGGAACCCACGCGGGACCGCCGCCGUCAAGGCGGAGGAGGGCGGGGACGACGUCAAGUCAUCAUGCCCCUUAUGCCCUGGGCUGCACACGUGCUACAAUGGCCGGUACAGAGGGAUGCCACCCCGCGAGGGGGAGCGGAUCCCGGAAAGCCGGCCCCAGUUCGGAUAAGGGGGCUGCAACCCGCCCCCAUGAAGUCGGAGUUGCUAGUAAUCGCGGAUCAGCAUGCCGCGGUGAAU